GGAUGUGAGAGUAAUCUGGCUGUGACAUCUGUCACUCCGCUGAUCUCCAGGGUUGAUUCAGCUGAUCUGGCUGGCUAGGUGGGUGUCCCCCUCCUCCCUCAAGGCUCCAUGUGCAUCACUCCAAAAGCUGCAUGCUCUGUUGAAAGGACGACCACUCCCAAUAGACGAGGACUAUUCCCCCGAUCAAGGGUAUAAGAGUAGCUGCGCUCCCCUGCUAGGCCUUCCAAACAAGCUUGCAAGAUGUAAUAGUAAAUCAUUUUCACUGCCUUCUCCAGGACUUUUUCUUAAGUAAAACUGGCUUUUGUU
rnacentral:snRNA from 1 species